rnacentral:rRNA from 1 species
UACGAAGGGGGCUAGCGUUGUUCGGAUUUACUGGGCGUAAAGCGCACGUAGGCGGAUCGAUCAGUCAGGGGGUGAAAUCCCAGAGCUCAACUCUGGAACUGCCUUUGAUACUGUCGAUCUGGAGUAUGGAAGAGGUGAGUGGAAUUCCGAGUGUAGAGGUGAAAUUCGUAGAUAUUCGGAGGAACACCAGUGGCGAAGGCGGCUGCACUGGUCCAUUACUGACGCUUGAGGUGCGAAAGCGUGGGGAGCAAAACAGGAUUGAG